rnacentral:rRNA from 1 species
UACGGAGGGUGCAAGCGUUAUCCGGAUUCAUUGGGUUUAAAGGGUGCGUAGGCGGAACGUUAAGUCAGUGGUGAAAUCCUGCAGCUCAACUGUAGACUUGCCAUUGAUACUGGCGUUCUUGAGUGCGCUUGAAGUAGGCGGAAUGUGUCGUGUAGCGGUGAAAUGCUUAGAUAUGACACAGAACACCAAUUGCGAAGGCAGCUUACUAAGGCGAUACUGACGCUGAGGCACGAAAGCGUGGGGAUCAAACAGG